rnacentral:lncRNA from 1 species
AUGAGCUACCAGCAGGGCGCCACCGCCACGGCCUACCCUCCGCAGCAGCAGCAGGCCUACGUGGCGGCGCCGCCGCCGGCCGGCUACCCGCAGAAGGACCAGCAGUAUCCUGCCGCCGGCGGUGCCGACACCACGACGAGCCGCGGCGGCCAUGGACACCACCACGGCGGCGGCUUCUGGAGAGGCUGGUAAGUCUUUGUUUGUCCCUUCUGAGUUCUGUCUCUGCAUGCAGCAUGCACCCUUCCCAUGCAUAGCCUUGUUCAUGAUGAGAGAUGCUUAGUAUGUUUGUCUGCUUCUUGUGUUGUUGCAGCUGCGCCGCGCUCUGCUGCUGCUGCCUCCUCGACGCCUGCUUCUGAUCAAGUCGAUUUUAUCCAUCGUGCAUGCCCAGUUACGUUACGUGGUCUGACGAGUGCUCCUGCUGUUCGUCACGGUUCAUGCGGAGUCCGGACGUCAUGCAGUAGUUUGUUUUCCCUUUCCGCUUUGUUGGUUACUUCUGUGAAUAGUGCUGUUUUUGUUGGUUGCUGAGCACCAUUUCUGUCUAGUGUAUCAUGGUGAUGUUGCUCCAUCUCUUGUACAUUGACUAUGUAUAUAUUAAUAUAUAAACAUGAUUCGUUUCUCUUGUACAUAUAAACAUGGUUCCAAGUAUAACUGUGCAGAAGUCGCUUUAAUUUAUACUUCCUAAAUAUAUCUCCUUUUAGAGAUUUCACUACAAGACUACAUAUGAAGCUUUAAAGCAUGUCUAUAUAUAGUACAUACGUAUAUAGUUCCCUAAUGAAAAUUUUAAAAUAAUUUAUAUUUAGAAACAGAAAGAGUACAUGAUUACUGAUCGAGCACGUCAUAAUCGGUCUCGUUUUAGAGAACGAUGAAUUAUGGAUACAUUUAUAGUGUAACAACUAUCUACACUCAAAGAUAUUGUUCCAAAUCACCGUGUAACCGUUUUAUUGACCGUUCUAAAAAUGUAAGGUUAGUUUUUUAAUAGGGAAAGGUUUUAAGAAAAGAUACACCCACACAUGUGGGCAUUUUGCGACUCGUCCACAUGCAUGGAUUGUCGUACAUUCAUGUUUGCAUGAAUCUUGAUAAGUUUUGUAGAUUUUCUGUGCCAUGUAGGCAUCAUGGGCGUUGGAGAGUUCAUCCACAUGGCCCGCAUUGUGUGGUUGGCAGCUGCGCCGUGUGGACGGACUAGUUUCUGCCUACACUGUCAUCAUCUAGUUCACGUGCGUGUGGUUGAACUGCUCUUCGUUCAUACAACGCUCGUACAUUGCUAGAUGGCAACUGCAGUUGCGCGUAGAUGACAACUACGUAAAUACAAUGGCAACCAUGAUUCGUUACUAGAUGACAACUACAGUUAAUCAUACACGACAACUACGAUUAACCAUACAUGACAACUAUGGUUGGACCAUAUAUGACAACUAGGUUAACACACAUGGCAACUACCGCGCGUAACUAAAGUGUCAUCCUGAGGAUAACUAUAGUCAAUCAAAACAGAGAGAGUUGCCAUGCUUUUACAACUACAUUGCCAUCCCACGUAACUAGAGUUGCCAUCCCCAAGGGUAACUAAAGUGGUAUCUUGCGGUUAACUAAUGUAGCUGCGCGAGGAUGUGUGGACAGAUUUACUUCGUGCCACACGCGCGGGUGGCUAUGAGUAUUACUUGUUGGGUGUGUGACACGAAGUUGCUACGCCCACACGUGUGGGCAAUUCUAUUUUUCGCUCACACAUGACCUGUGUGGACUGCCUCCAGCGCACACAACACACGAUGUGUGAAUGGAUGUCUAAUAUGUCACACGUAUGGUGAAUAUCGGGACCCAAGAUUUUAUAUUGGUGCUGGCCGAACAACUAGGUUCUAGAUGGUUCUUUAAGGAUACUUGGCUUGGCGACGUGCCCUUUUAAAUCCAUAGAUUUAGUUGUUUGUAAUAUCUUUCUUUGUACAAUAUUGUUUAACGCAAGGAAAACUAUGUAAACACCGUAUUAGGGUCAAAUCCAUUAAAUAUCUCGUUCAGAAGAGCUCUAAUCAAAGAUAAGUGGAAAGUGUGGAUGCAUUUAGGUUGAUACUAGAAGGACCGGACGCGCUUUGCUGCGCCGUUAGAUUAAAAAAUGAAUCAUUUUUUUCAAAAUACAACGUGUAUUACUUUUUGAAAUGUCAAACCUUUUAAAUUUGAUUAAAUUUGGAGAUAAAUAUAUCAAAGUCUAUAAUAUCAAAUUGUUGUGAUUAGAUUCAUCGGUAAAUGAAUUAUCAUAUUUUUUAUUUAAUAUUGUAGAUGUUGAUAUUUUUGCUCUCAACAUGGUCAAUGUUGAAUAAUUUGACUUUUCAAAAAAUUAAUACCUCUUAUAUUUUGAAACUAAUGGAAUAUUUUGUAUGAUGUGUGGAGAGAUGACAUGGUGUGUUUUAUUUUUAUUUAUAAUUCGGUAAUUGGAUGGGUAUUUCGUGGUGUGAUUCUAUAUUAUAUGCUAACCAACCUUAUAUAUGUGGAAAAAGUUAUAUGUUGACAACUCCAUGAGCGUGAUUGAUAUGUUUUUAUAGGCCAGUUGUUAUUGAUUGAUUUGAAAAACUGUUAGUUGAGUCAAAAUCGUAAACCAACCCCAUUAGGAAGCAUAAUGUAUUUGUCUAAAUAAAUGAACGGGAGAGUUUCGAGAAAUUAUUGACCCAGUCAAAAUCGGAUGAUCCACUUUUAAUUAAAGUCUUGGAGAUCUCAAUUGAAUGUGACUCUUUAAAAAUAAGGAGUAUAGUGUUAUAGACAUAUAAAUAAAAUAAUUAAAUGAAAGAACUUUGAAAAAUUGUUGACCAGGUUAAAAUCGGGUGUCACAAUGUCAAUUGGAGACCUCAAUUGAAUGUGGGCUCUUCAAUUCUAGAGAGAUUAGUGUUACAGUAUAUAAAUCUCACUAAUAUACCAGACACAUUCCGUUGGAGUUAAUGCCUUCUAUUGUUUUGACAGUGAAAUAUAUGUACAUGGAUUUAAUCAAGUUUGACUCGUCUUUCGUUUGCAUCACAUUUAGAAAACUAAAAUAUCACUCAAAACUAAAAUUUUCAUGUGUCGUGGGGAGUUAUUCUUACUUAAUAUGAUCCAAUGAAUCGUAAAUGACAAGGCAAUAAACAAUGUUGCUUUUGUGACCACACGAAAACGACACACCAUUUUCUUAUUGCAUGUCCAUUUGCCACUCUAUUAUUAUGCAUGAUUCAUGCGAUAUUUAAUUUACCUUCAUCCAACAGUAUUACUAUGUUUGGUAACUGGUUGAGGGGUAUUGAAGCCAAAACUAAUGGACGGGUCCACUUGGGUCUUUGUGCAUUAUUUGAAAUUAUUGUAACGAUUGCAUUUUUAAUGGAGUGAAAGUUCACUAUUCUUUAUAGGUUAUUUUCCCCGCUACAUGAUGGGAUCCAUAUGUGGUCUGUAGCAUGCGGAUGUUGGAAAUAUGCCCUAGAGGCAAUGAUAAAUAGUUAUUAUUAUAUUUCCUGUUUAAAGAUUAUUAUUUAUUAUCCAUGCUAUAAUUGUAUUGAAUGAAAACAUAGAUACAUGUGUGUAUAAAUAGACAAAACAAUGUCCCUAGCAAACCUCUAGUUGGCUAGCUAGUUGAUCCAGGAUAGUCAAGGUUUUCUGACUAUGUGCAAGUGUUGUCACUUGAUGACUGGAUCACAUCAUUAGGAAAAUCAUGUGAUGGAUAGACCCAAACUAUGAACAUAGCAUAUUGAUCGUGUCGUUUUAUUGCUAUUGUUUUUUGCGUGUCAAGUAUUUGUUCCUAUGACCAUGAGAUCAUAUAACUCACUGGCACCGGAGGAAUACCUUGUGUGCAUCAAACGUCACAACGUAACUGGGUGACUAUAAAGGUGUUCUACAGGUAUCUUCGAAGGUGUCCGUUGAGUUAGUAUGGAUCAAGACUGGGAUUUGUCACUCUGUGUGACGGAGAGGUAUCUUAGGGCCCACUCGGUAAUACAACAUCACACACAAGCCUUGCAAGCAAUGUGACUAAGUGUAAGUCAUGGGAUCUUGUAUUACGAAACGAGUAAAGAGACUUGCCGGUAAAGAGAUUGAAAUAGGUAUGCGGAUACCAAUGAUUGAAUCUCGGGCAAGUAACAUACCGAAGGACAGAGGGAAUGACAUAUGGGAUUAUAUGAAUCCUUGACACUGAGGUUCAACCGAUAAGAUCUUCGGAGAAUAUGUAGGAUCCAAUAUGGGCAUCAAUGUCCCGCUAUUGGAUAUUGACCGAGGAGUGCCUCGGGGCAUGUCUACAUAGUUCUCGAACCCGCAGGGUCUGCACACUUAAGGUUCAAUGAUGUUUUAGUAUAGUUGAGUUAUACGUGUGGUUACCGAAUGUUUUUCGGAGUGCCGUAUGAGAUCACAGACAUCACGAGGGUUUNNNNNNNNNNNNNNNNNNNNNNNNNNNNNNNNNNNNNNNNNNNNNNNNNNNNNNNNNNNNNNNNNNNNNNNNNNNNNNNNNNNNNNNNNNNNNNNNNNNNNNNNNNNNNNNNNNNNNNNNNNNNNNNNNNNNNNNNNNNNNNNNNNNNNNNNNNNNNNNNNNNNNNNNNNNACGAAGAUUGAUAUAUGGGAUGGUUUCAUUUGGUUACCGGAAAGUUUCGAGCAAUUCCGAAAGUGUACCGGGAGUGAUGAAUGGGUUCCGGGAGUUCACCGGGAGGGGCCCACCCACCCGGGAGUGAGCCCAUGUCCAUAGGGUGGCUCCACAAGUCCCUAGUGGGCUGGUGGAGUCAGUCCAAGUGGCCCAUGGCGCCACAUAAAGAAAUUCCAAAAGAAAAGAAAAAGAAAAAGGGGAAAGGGGAGGUGGGAAGUGAUACGUCCAUUUUGCAUCAUGCUUUCAUGUUGAUAUUUAUUGCUUCUUGGGCUGUUAUUUCACUUCACGGUACAAUACUUAUGCCUUUUCUCUCUUAUUUUGCAAGGUUUACAUGAAGAGGGAGAAUGCCGGCAGCUGGAAUUCUAGCCUGAAAAAGGAGCAAGUUUGAGAUGCCUAUUCUGCGCAACUCCAAAAGCCGUGAAACUCAGCAUGGAUUUUUUUGGGAUUUAUAAAAAAUACUGGGCCGAAGAAGUGUCGGAGGGGCGCCAGCAGGGGGCCACAAGCCUACUAGGCGCGGCCACCCCCUGGCUGCGCCUUGGGGGCUUGUGGGCUCCCAGCUGGCCCUCUGGCCCCCCCCUUUUGCUACAAGAAGGGUUUCGGUCUGGAAAAAAUCGAGAUGAGGCUUUUCGGAGGAUUCGCCGCCGCCACGAGGCGGAACUUGAGCAUAACCAAUCUAGAGCUCCGGCAGGAUGAUCCUGCCGGGGAAACUCCCCCCCCGUAGGGGGAAAUGGUCGCCAUCGUCAUCACCAACACUCCUCUCAUCAGAGGGGACUCGUCACCAUCAACAUCUUCAUCAGCACCAUAGCAUCUCCAAACCCUAGUUUAUCACUUGUAACCAAUCUCCGUCUCGCGACUCCGAUUGGUACUUGUAAGGUUGCUAGUAGUGUUAAUUACUCUUUGUAAUUGAUGCUAGUUGGAUNGGGCAUAUUUCCAACAAUUGGGCCACUUUGCUGCACCGUUGCUACUUUUGUUACUUGUUGCUUGCUACGAAUCAUCUCACCACACAACUACUUGUUACCGAUAAUUUCAGUGCUUGCAGAUAUUACCUUGCUGAAAACCACUUGUCAGAUCCUUCUGCUCCUUGUUGGGUUCGACACUCUUACUUAUUGAAAGGACUAAGAUAGAUACCCUAUACUUGUGGGUCAUCAAGACUCUUUUCUGGCGCCGUUGCCGGGGAGUGAAGCGCCUUUGGUAAGAGGAGUUUGGUAAGAAAACAUUUAUAUAGUGUGCUGAAAUUUAUUGUCACUUGUCACUAUGGAAACUAAUCCUUUGAGGGGCUUGUUCGGGGUAUCUUCACCUCAAACAGAAGCACAAAGAGUUGCUCCUCAACUUGCUGCACCUACUGAAAAUAUUUGCUUUGAAUUUCCUUCGGGUAUGCUUGAGAAACUGCUGGCUAAUCCUUCUACAAGAGAUGGAACAUCACAUCCAGACUUGCAUCUAAUCUAUGUAGAUGAAGUUUGUUGUUUAUUUAAGCUUGCAGGUUUGCCCGAGGAUGAGGUCAAGAAGAAGGUCUUUCCCUUAUCUUUGAGGGAUAAGGCGUUGACAUGGUAUAGGCUAUGUGAUGAUACUGGAUCAUGGAACUAUAAUCGGUUGAAAUUGAAAUUUCAUCAAAAGUUUUAUCCUAUGCAUUUAGUACAUCGUUAUCGGAAUUAUAUUUAUAAUUUUUGGCGCCGUGACAGAGAAAGCAUCGCUCAAGCUUGGGGGAGUCUUAAAUCAAUGUUAUAUUCAUGCCCCAACCAUGAGCUCUCGAGAGAAAUUAUCAUUCAGAACUUCUAUGCUCGGCUUUCUCAUGAUGAUCGCACCAUGCUUGACACUUCUUGUACCGGUUCUUUUAUGAAGAGAUAUAUUUGACUUCAGAUGGAAUUUAUUGGAAAGAAUUAAACGCAACUCUGAAGAUUGGGAGCUUGAUGAAGGUAAGGAGUCAGGUAUGAAUUUCAAGUUUGAUUGCGUUAAAUCCUUUGUUGAAACAAAUACUUUUUGUGAUUUUAGCGCUAAGUAUGGACUUGACUCUGAGAUAGUAGCUUCAUUGUGUGAAUCAUUUGCUGCUCAUAUUGAUCUCCCCAAAGAGAAGUGGUUUAAAUAUCAUCCUCCCUUAGAAGUUAAUGUAGUUAAACCUAAUCUAGUUGAAGAGAAAGUUAUUGCCUAUAAUGAUCCUAUUGUUCCUAGUGCUUACAUUGAGAAACCACCUUUCCCUGUUAGGAUGAAGGAUCAUUCUAAAGCUUCAACUCUGAUACGUAGAGGCUACAUUAGAGCACCUACACCCCCUGAGCAAAUUAGAGUUGAACCUAGCAUUGCUAUUAUUAAAGAUCUUCUGUCCGACAAUGUUGAGGGACAUGAUAUUCACUUCUGUGAAGAUGCUGCUAGAAUUGUUAAACCUCAUGCUAGAGACAAACAUAGGCAUGUUGUUGGCAUGCCUGUUGUUUCUGUUAAGAUAGGAGAUCAUUGUUAUCAUGGUUUAUGUGACGUGGGUGCUAGUGUUAGUGCAAUACCUCAAUCCUUAUAUGAUGAAAUUAAAGACGAAAUUGCACCUGUUGAGAUAGAACCCAUUGAUGUCACUAUUCAGCUUGCCAAUAGAGAUACUAUCUGCCCUGUGGGAAUUGUUAGGGAUGUUGAAGUCUUGUGUGGUAAAACGAAGUAUCCUGCUGAUUUCCUCGUUCUUGCUACCACCCAAGAUAGCUUUUGUCCCAUCAUAUUUGGCAGACCCUUCCUCAAUACCGUCAAUGCUCAUAUUGACUGUGAGAAGCAAACUAUCACUGUUGGCUUUGAAGGUGUGUCACAUAAGUUCAAUUUCUCCAAGUUUGGUAGACAACCUCAUGAAAAAGAGUUGCCUAGUAAGGAUGAAACUAUUGCCCUAGCUUCUAUUGCUGUACCUCCUACUGAUCCCUUAGAGCAAUACUUGCUUGAGCAAGAAAAUGAUAUGCAUAUAGAUGAAAGGGAUGAGAUAGAUAGAGUUGUCUUAGAACAAUAUCCUAUCCUUAAGAAUAAUUUGCUUGUUGAACUACUUCGGGAUCCACCGCCACCAAAGGGUGAUCCCUGUUCGAGCUUAAAUAGUUGCCUGAUACUCUUAAGUAUGCUUAUCUUGAUGUGAAAGAGAUAUAUCCUACUAUUAUUAGUGCUAGCCUCUUAGAGCAUGAAGAAAAGAAGUUACUAAAAACUCCGAGGAAGCAUCGUGCUGCUAUUGGAUAUACUCUUGAUGAUCUUAAGGGAAUUAGUCCCACUCUAUGCCAGCACAAGAUCAAAACUGAUCUUGAUUCCAAACCAGUUGCUGAUCAUCAAAGGAGAUUAAAUCCUAAGAUGAAAGAGGUAGUAAGAAAAGAAAUACUAAAGCUCAUGGAAGCAGGUAUUAUCUAUCCUGUUGCUCAUAGUGAUUGGGUGAGUCCGGUGCAUUGCGUCCCUAAGAAGGGAGGUAUUACCGUUGUCCCUAAUGAUAAGGAUGAAUUGAUCCCACAGAGGAUUAUUACUGGCUAUAGGAUGGUGAUCGAUUUUAGGAAAUUGAAUAAAGCCACUAGGAAAGAUCAUUACCCUUUGCCUUUUAUCGACCAAAUGCUAGAAAGACUGUCUACACACACACUUCUGCUUUCUAGAUGGUUAUUCUGGUUUCUGCCAAAUACGUGUUGCACAAUCUGAUCAGGAGAAAACCACUUUCACCUGCCAUUUCGGUACCUUUGCUUAUAGACGUAUGCCUUUUGGCUUAUGUAAUGCACCUGCCACCUUUCAAAGAUGUAUGAUGGCUAUAUUCUUUGACUUUUGUGAAAAGAUUGUUGAGGUUUUCAUGGAUGACUUCUCCAUUUACGGGUCUUCUUUUGAUGAUUGCCUCAGCAACCUUGACCAAGUCUUGCAGAGAUGUAAAGAUACCAAUCUUGUAUUGAAUUGGGAGAAGUGCCACUUUAUGGUUAAUGAAGGCAUCGUCUUAGGACAUAAAAUAUCGGAAAGAGGUAUUGAAGUCGAUAAGGCUAAGGUUGAUGCAAUCGAGAAAAUGCCAUGCCCCAUAGAUAUCAAAGGUAUAAGAAGUUUCCUUGGUCAUGCUGGUUUCUAUAGGAGGUUCAUUAAAGACUUCUCUAAGAUUUCUAGGCCUCUUACCAAUCUCUUGCAAAAGGAUAUUCCUUUUGUUUUUGACGAUUAUUGUGAGGAAGCCUUCGAAAUACUUAAGAAGACCUUGAUAACUGUGCCUAUUGUUCAACCACCUGAUUGGAACUUACCUUUUGAAAUCAUGUGUGACGCUAGUGAUCAUGCUGUUGGUGUUGUCCAAGGGCAAAGAGUUGAUAAGAAGUUGAAUGUUAUUCACUAUGCUAGUAAAACUCUAGACAGUGCCCAAAGAAACUAUGCUACUACGGAAAAGGAAUUUUUAGAAGUCGUGUUUGCAUGUGAAAAGUUCAGGUCUUACAUAGUUGAUUCCAAAGUCACUAUUCACACUGAUCACGCUGCUAUUAAGUACCUCAUGGAGAAGAAAGACGCUAAACCUAGACUUAUCAGAUGGGUUCUCUUGCUACAAGAAUUUGAUUUGCAUGUUGUCGACAGAAAGGGUGUUGAUAACCCAGUAGCAGAUAACUUGUCUAGGUUGGAGAACGUUCUUGAUGACCCACAACCUAUUGAUGAUAGGUUUCCCGAUGAGCAACUGAAUGUCACCAAUACUUCACGUAAUGCACCGUGGUAUGCUGAUUAUGAAAACUAUAUCGUUGCCAAAUAUAUACCACCUAGUUUCACAUACCAGCAAAAGAAGAAAUUCUUCUUUGGCUUGAGACAUUACUUUUAGGAUGAUCCUCACCUUUAUAAGGAAGUAGUAGAUGGUGUUAUUAGACGUUGUGUACCUGAACAUGAACAGGGACAGAUGCUACAGAAGUGUCACUCCGAGGCCUACGGAGGACACCAUGUGGGAGAUAGAACUGUACACAAGGUAUUGCAAUCAGGUUUCUAUUGGCCCACUCUCUUAAAGGAUGCCCGUAAGUUUGUCUUGUCUUGCGACGAAUGUCAAAGAAUAGGUAAUAUAGGUAAAGGUUAGGAAAUGCCUAAGAACUAUUCACUUGUCAUUGAACCAUUUGAUGUUUGGGGCUUUGAUUAUAUGGGACCUUUUCCAAAAUCCAACGGGUAUACUCAUAUCCUAGUUGCUGUUGAUUAUGUCACUAAGUGGGUAGAAGCUAUCCCCACUAGUAGUACUGAUCACAACACUUCUAUUAGGAUGCUUAAAGAAGUUAUUUUCCCUAGAUUUCGAGUCCCUAGAUAUCUAAUGACCGACGAUGGUUCACAUUUCAUUCAUGGUGCUUCCCGUAAAACGCUUGCUAAGUACGAUGUCAACCAUAGAAUUGCGUCUCCCUAUCACCCUAAGUCCAGUGGUCAAGUAGAGCUAAUGAAUAGACAGAUCAAACUAAUUCUGCAAAAGACUGUCAACAGGUCUAGAAAGAACUGGUCUAAGAAGCUCGAUGAUGCACCGUGGGCUUAUAGAACUGCCUAUAAGAAUCCCAUGGGCAUGUCUACGUACAAAAUGGUGUACGGUAAAGCAUGCCAGUUACCUCUUGAGCUAGAGCAUAAAGCUUAUUGGGCAAUCAAAGAGCUCAACUUUGAUUUCAAACUUGCUGGUGAGAAGAGGUUAUUUGAUAUUAGCUCGCUUGAUGAAUGGCGAACUCAGGCAUAUCAGAAUGCCAAGUUGUUCAAAGAAAAGGUUAAGAGGUGGCAUGAUAAAAGGAUACAAAAGCGUGAGUUCAAUGUAGGUGAUUAUGUCUUGCUAUAUAAUUCUCGUUUAAGAUUUUUUGCAGGCAAGCUUCUCUCUAAAUGGGAAGGUCCUUACAUUGUUGAGGAAGUAUAUCGUUCCGGUGCUAUCAAGAUCAACAACACGGAAGGUAAUUGUCCGAGAGUGGUAAAUGGGCAGAGAAUCAAGCAUUAUAUCUCACGUACUCCCAUAAUGUUGAAAGGAAUAUUAUCAAUACCAUAACUUUGGAGGAAUACCUAAGGGAUAUUUAUCAGCCUGUUUUAGACUCCGAAAACGAAGAGGUAUGUGUUUCGGUAAGUAAACAGACUCCAAAACUUUUCCAGUAGGAAUUUUUCUCCGUUUUGGAAUAUUUAGAAAAAUAGAAAAAUAGAAAGUAGUCCGGAAAGUGCACGAGGAGGCGACAAGCCUGCCAGGCGUGGGCCCACCCCCUGGCCGCGCCUGGGGGGCUUGUGGCCACCUCGUGUACCUCCCGGACUCCGUUUUCUUGCGGAGUACUCCUUCUGGUCGAAAAAAAUCAUUAUAUAUUCUCUCGAAAGGUCUGACCCUUGUAUCACGCGAAUUUCCUCUGUUUCCGUUUCGAGCCUAUUUUCUGCCGCAGAUUUAGGGCAAGAUGUCGUCUCAGGAAUUUAUGGGGGAGAACAAUCUCCCUCAAGUCUAUGGACAAGUAAAUGCUGAUUUGAAAAGAAUGGACGUCAUCGAGGCCAGGGAAAGGCUACCUAAAGAAGCCAAGGGCAAAACUAAGGAGGAUAAUCAGGUGUGGGACGAAGCACAAUCUGCAUUCAACAAGGAAGAAGUUGCAGAAGUGGAUUUACUCCAACCCUACCUCCACCUACUGUCUCCAUCCUUGAUUGAACUCUUGAGAUUUUGUGAAACAACUCGUGCUCGCAAUACUUAUCUCACUCAUGAAGUUGUUUUGCUGGAGAAACAUAUCACAGAUCUCCAAGGUAUAAAUCAAAGAUUGAUGGCCCUCUUGGAAUCAAAGGACAAAGCAACUCCACCACCAUCACCUCCAAAGGAAGACAACUAAGCAUGGGUGCUUCCCUUCCCCGGCAACGACGCCAAAAAAGAACUGCUUCCAGUUGCUCAACAAUUAGCAAUUGUCUUGCAAUGGCCCACCAGCGUGUGGAAUCGCGGUAGUUUCGAGGGUAGAGUAUUCAACCCAAAUUUGUUGGUUCGACACGAUGGGAGUGAAAGGAUAUUCUCCAGUAUUAGCAGUUGAGUUGUCGGCUCAACAACACCUGAAAGAUUAGUAUCUGCAAGCAGGAUAUAAGCAGCAAAGAUAGUAUGAUAGCAACGGUGCUAGGAAAGAAUUCGUUGACGGCAGAUUAUUCCUAACUGAAGUAUCAAUGGCACCAGAAAAGUAUUGUAGCAGGUAGUAGCAGUCUAACGAGUAACAACAGUGGCAAGGAACAACAACAGUGACAGCAGUAGCAAGUAGCAACAGUAGCAAGUAAUAGCAAUAGCAAGUAACAGUAGUAGCAACAGUAGUGGCAGCAGCAGAAGGACAAAGCAACUAACAGUAGCAGCAAGUAACAUCAGUAGAGCAAAGCAAGUAACAGCAGCAACAAGUAACAGUGGCAGUGGGACAAACUCGUAGGCAAUGGAUCGGUGAUUUGUUGGAUGACAUUCAUUAUGCAACAGUUAUAACACGGAGAGAUAUGUGGCUAGCUCCCGUUCGUCAAUGUGAUAUAGGCAUGCAUUCCGUGUGUAGUCAUACGUGCUUAGGGAAAAGAACUUGCAUGACAUCUAUUGUCCAUCCCUCCCAUGGCAGCGGGGUACAAAUGGAUACUACGGGAUAUUAAGGUUCUCCUUUUAAUAAAGAACCGAACCAACGCAUUAGCACUUGGUGAACACAUGAACACCUCAAACUAAGGUCAUCAUCGGGAGUGGUUCCGGUUAUUGUCACUACGGGGUUGCCGGAUCAUAACACAUAGUAGGUAACUACAACUUGCAAGAUCGGAUCUAAAACACACAUAUAUUGGUGACAACAUAAUAAUUUCAGAUCUGAAUUCAUGGCACUCGGGCCCUAGUGACAAGCAUUAAGCAUGGCAAAGUAGUAGCAACAUCAAUCUCAAAACAUAGUGGAUACUAGGGAUNNNNNNNNNNNNNNNNNNNNNNNNNNNNNNNNNNNNNNNNNNNNNNNNNNNNNNNNNNNNNNNNNNNNNNNNNNNNNNNNNNNNNNNNNNNNNNNNNNNNNNNNNNNNNNNNNNNNNNNNNNNNNNNNNNNNNNNNNNAGUGGAUACUAGGGAUCAAUCCCCGUCAAAACUAACCCGAUUACAUGAUAGAUCUCAUCCUACUCAUCACCGCCCAGCGAGCUUAUGAAUAGAUUACUCACGAACAAUGAAGAGCUUCAUGGAAUUGGAGAGGGAAGAAGGCUGAUGAUGACGAUGGCGACGAUCUCCUUGAUCCGGAGCCAAAAACGGACUCCAGAUCUGCCCUCUAGGGCAAGAACGGGAUGUGGCGGCGCCUCUGGAUCGUGGAACGCGAUGAACUCUUCUCUCCUGAUUUUUUCGGGACGAAAGGGAAUAAAUAGCGCUAGAAUUGGGGGCGGCAGAGCCACGUGGGACCCACAAGCCUGGUAGCCGCUGCCAGGGGGGAGGCCGCGGCUACAGGGCUUGUGGCCCACUAGCCCGUCCCCUCCGGUGGAUCUUUGCGCAGGUAUUUUUCAUAUUUUCCAGAAAUAUUCUCCGUAAAUUUUCAGGACAUUCCGAGAACUUUCAUUUCUGCACAAAAAAAACACCAUGGCAAUUCUGCUGAAAACAGCGUUAAUCCGGGUUAGUUCCAUUCAAAUCCUGCAAAUUAGGGUCCAAAACAAGGGCAAAAGUGUUUGGAAAAGUAGAUACGAUGGAGACGUAUCAACUCCCCCAAGCUUAAAACCUUGCUUGUCCUCAAGCAACUCAGUUGACAAACUGAAAGAGAAAGAAAAACUUUGACAAACUCUGUUUGAUCUUGUUGUUGCAACUAUGUCUAACUCAUAACCAGAAUUUCAGCAAGAUCACAAGUUAACCACAUAAGCAAGUGACACAUAGGUCUCACGGUAAACUAAUAUCAAUGGCAUAAUCAGCUAGCGAGCAAAUAAUAAUGAGUUUCAGAUACCAACAAUUCAAUCAAAACAAGCAUGAAGCAAUAUGAAUAGGUGGUAUCUCGCUAGCUCUUUCUCAGACCGCAAAACAUAAAUGCACAACACUUUCAAAGAUCAAGGGCUGACUAAACAUUGUAUAGCAACGAAGAUCCAGUCAUAGUCUUACUCAAUAUCAUGCAAAAGCAAAGCAUAAAAAUGACAUAGGUGCUCUCUAAUUGGUGCUUAUAUAAGAAGAGGAUGACUCAACAGGAAAAUAAAUAGACAAGCCCUUCGCAGAGGGAAGCAUUGAUUUGCAGAGGUGCCAGAGCUCAAGCUUUGAAAAUAGAGAUAAUAAUUUUGGGUGGCAUGCUUUCAUUGUCAACGCAAUGACCAAGAGUUCUCAAUAUCUUCCAUGCUAUUCAUGCUAUAGGCGGUUCCCAAACAGAAAAGUAAAGUUUUAACUCCCCCACCACCAAUCAAUCACACUCCACGGCUAGCCGAAUCCUCGGGUACCGUCCAUACUAACAUCAAUCCAAGGGGAGUCUUGUUUUACAGUUAUGUUUUCGAUUUAAGCGUGGAAUUGGGCAUUCCAAUUACGGGCCCCUUUCUCAUGAAUGACAGUGAAUAAACACAUGUCGAGGAUAACACACCUAACAUGGAAGAUACCAAUAGCCCCCUGUCACCACAUGAGCAGUUCGGGCAUGCAAAACAAAUUAUUUCUUGAAGGUUUAGAGAAUGGCACAUGCAAAUUUACUUGGAACGGCAGGUAGAUACCGCAAAUAGGUAGGUAUGGUGGACUCCCAUGGAAAAAAAAUUGGGUUUAUGGAAGUGAAUGCACAAGCAGUAUUCCUCUUAGUACAAGUGAAGGCUAGCAAAAGACUGGGAAGCGACCAACUAGAGAGCGACAACCGUCAUCAAGAUGCAAUGAGUGUGACUAACAUUGAGUGCAAGCAUGAGAAGGAUAUAAAUCACCAUGAACACGAACAUCAUAGAGGCGAUGUUGAUUUUGUUUCAACUACAUGCAUGAACAUGCGCCAAGUCAAGCCACUUGAAUCAUUCAAUGGAGAAUACCAUCCUAUCAUACUACAUCAUAGCCAUCUCAAAAUCUAUGUUGGCAUUCAAGACAAACCAUUAUAUGCUCCUAACUAAUUAAGCAUGGCAUCAGAAACUAUGAUCUCUAAGCUGUCAUUGCAGACAUGGUUCUCUCUCAACAAAGCUGAAUCUCGGACGACAAGCUAGUCAUAUUUACAAAAAACAAAAUAGAUAGAGUUCACACCAGCUUUUCCAGUCUCAGUCACUUCAUCAUAUAUCACCAUUAUUGCCUUUCACUUGCACGAUCGAACGAUGUGAACAAUAAUAAGACUGCUCGUGCAUUGGACUAAGCUGAAUCUGCAGGCAAACACAAAGGAGAAGACAAAGUAAUAUGGCUCUUUAACAAAUGAACAGGUAUGCAUGCGAGGGCCACUAAACAUUGUAACCAUGGUCUUCUACCUCGACUCAAAAAAAA